rnacentral:rRNA from 1 species
UACGUAGGGCGCAAGCGUUGUCCGGAAUUAUUGGGCGUAAAGAGCUCGUAGGCGGUCUGUUGCGUCGGGAGUGAAAACUUACAGCUUAACUGUGAGCGUGCUUUCGAUACGGGCAGACUUGAGGCAUUCAGGGGAGAACGGAAUUCCUGGUGUAGCGGUGAAAUGCGCAGAUAUCAGGAGGAACACCGGUGGCGAAGGCGGUUCUCUGGGAAUGUCCUGACGCUGAGGAGCGAAAGUGUGGGGAGCGAACAGG